rnacentral:rRNA from 1 species
UACGUAGGGUGCGAGCGUUGUCCGGAAUUAUUGGGCGUAAAGGGCUCGUAGGCGGUCUGUUGCGUCAGGAGUGAAAACUCGGGGCUUAACCCCGAGCCUGCUUCUGAUACGGGCAGACUAGAGGUAUGCAGGGGAGAACGGAAUUCCUGGUGUAGCGGUGAAAUGCGCAGAUAUCAGGAGGAACACCGGUGGCGAAGGCGGCUACCUGGACAGAAACUGACGCUGAGGCGCGAAAGCUAGGGGAGCAAACAGG